rnacentral:sRNA from 1 species
UAAAUGUAGUCUCUUUGAACCCAUAAAUUUAGUACAAAACCUACUAACAUUAUACCAUGAAUAUAUUUUCUUUGUAAACCUGGCUUAUCAAGGAAAUAAUUUAAAUCUGUGAGUAGAUAAUGUUAAAGUAAACUGGUUUAAAAGUGACUAAUUCAAUAAAUUAGUAUCAAAUAUAUAAAAAUGAUCUAAAUUUGACGUUUAGAAAAAAUUCACAUUGAUUUUUGUAUAUAAAUAACAUCUAUACUUUCUCAGAAAUGCUUUUCUUUAAGCUAUGGAUUCUCUGUAUUCUUCAAUUUAUGAAAUUGAAAAAUAUAAUAUGAAGUCAUACAAGGUGUUUAUUUCUAGGAAGAUGGAUGUUUUGAAAGCUACCGCAGAACAAAUUUCUUCUCAAACUGGAAAUAAGGUUCAUGCAAUUCAGUGUGAUGUGAGGGAUCCUGAUAUGGUUCAAAACACUGUGUCAGAACUGAUCAAAGUUGCAGGACAUCCUAAUAUUGUGAUAAACAAUGCAGCAGGGAAUUUUAUUUCUCCUACUGAAAGACUUUCUCCUAAUGCUUGGAAAACCAUAACUGACAUAGUUCUAAAUGGCACAGCCUUCGUGACACUAGAAAUUGGAAAACAACUAAUUAAAGCACAGAAAGGAGCAGCAUUUCUUUCUAUUACUACUAUCUAUGCUGAGACU